rnacentral:rRNA from 1 species
GACGAACGCUGGCGGCGUGCUUAACACAUGCAAGUCGAACGGAAAGGCCUGCUUUUGUGGGGUGCUCGAGUGGCGAACGGGUGAGUAACACGUGAGUAACCUGCCCUUGACUUUGGGAUAACUUCAGGAAACUGGGGCUAAUACCGGAUAGGAGCUCCUGCUGCAUGGUGGGGGUUGGAAAGUUUCGGCGGUUGGGGAUGGACUCGCGGCUUAUCAGCUUGUUGGUGGGGGAGUGGCUUACCAAGGCUUUGACGGGUAGCCGGCCUGAGAGGGUGACCGGCCACAUUGGGACUGAGAUACGGCCCAGACUCCUACGGGAGGCAGCAGUGGGGAAUAUUGCACAAUGGGCGGAAGCCUGAUGCAGCAACGCCGCGUGCGGGAUGACGGCCUUCGGGUUGUAAACCGCUUUCGCCUGUGACGAAGCGUGAGUGACGGUAAUGGGUAAAGAAGCACCGGCUAACUACGUG